rnacentral:rRNA from 1 species
UGAUUAGCUAGUUGGUGGGGUAAAGGCCCACCAAGGCGACGAUCAGUAGCCGGCCUGAGAGGGUGAACGGCCACACUGGGACUGAGACACGGCCCAGACUCCUACGGGAGGCAGCAGUGGGGAAUCUUCCGCAAUGGACGAAAGUCUGACGGAGCAACGCCGCGUGUAUGAUGAAGGUCUUCGGAUUGUAAAGUACUGUCUUUGGGGAAGAAUGUCAGGUUUGAAAAUAUUGAGCCUGAAUGACGGUACCCAAGGAGGAA